rnacentral:rRNA from 1 species
UACGUAGGUGGCAAGCGUUGUCCGGAUUUAUUGGGUUUAAAGGGUGCGUAGGCGGCUUUGUAAGUCAGUGGUGAAAUAUGGCAGCUCAACUGUCAAGGUGCCAUUGAUACUGCGGAGCUUGAGUACAGAUGAGGUAGGCGGAAUUGACGGUGUAGCGGUGAAAUGCUUAGAUAUCGUCAAGAACACCUAUAGCGAAGGCAGCUUACUAGGCUGUAACUGACGCUGAGGCACGAAAGUGUGGGGAGUCAAAAC